AGUAGUGAAAACACAACAUCCACACGAAAGACUCAGAUUGGAAGAUUUUGUUCAGCUUUAUAGGAAAGUAGAACUGAUUCAGAUGCUGGACCAGAAGAUAUUCUUUGGAUCCUCCUUAAAAAUUCUACAUUCAGUGAAGUUUAUGGGUAUAACUUCUGCAUAUGGAUGAAGAAAUGAGCACUAGAAAGGUGAAACAAGUUAUCCAAGGACGGGCAGCUGGUAAAUAGUACACCUGGGAUUAGAACUUGUGUCUUCUGAUUAUUGAAACCAGUCUUGAUAAGGAUGGAAGAAUAAGUGAAGAAAUGUGAUAGAUAGGUUCUUAAUAAAUCCAGUUCUC